GUGAGGAAUAUUGGUCAAUGGGCGGGAGCCUGAACCAGCCAAGUCGCGUGAAGGAAGAAGGAUCUAUGGUUCGUAAACUUCUUUUGCAGGGGAAUAAAGUGCAGGACGUGUCCUGUUUUGUAUGUACCCUGAGAAUAAGGAUCGGCUAACUCCGUGCCAGCAGCCGCGGUAAUACGGAGGAUCCGAGCGUUAUCCGGAUUUAUUGGGUUUAAAGGGUGCGUAGGUGGUUUGAUAAGUCAGCGGUGAAAGUUUGCAGCUUAACUGUAAAAUUGCCGUUGAAACUGUCGAGCUUGAGUGCAAAUGAGGUAAGCGGAAUGUGUUGUGUAGCGGUGAAAUGCUUAGAUAUAACACAGAACACCGAUUGCGAAGGCGACUUACUGGGCCGUAACUGACGCUGAUGCGCGAAAGCGUGGGGAGCAAACAGGAUUAGAUACCCGUGUAGUCC
rnacentral:rRNA from 1 species